rnacentral:rRNA from 1 species
GUGCCAGCCGCCGCGGUAAAACGUAGGAGUCUAGCGUUAUCCGAAUUUACUGGGCGUAAAGCGCGUGUAGGCGGUUCGGUAAGUUGGAUGUGAAAGCUCCUGGCUCAACUGGGAGAGGUCGUUCAAUACUGUCGGACUCGAGGAUGGUAGAGGGAGGUGGAAUUCCCGGUGUAGUGGUGAAAUGCGUAGAUAUCGGGAGGAACACCAGUGGCGAAAGCGGCCUCCUGGACCAUUCCUGACGCUCAGACGCGAAAGCUAGGGGAGCAAACGGGAUUAGAUACCCCCGUAGUCC